rnacentral:tRNA from 1 species
AGGGCUUUAUCUUAAUUAAAAGUAUUUGGGUUGCAGCCAGAUGAUGUGGGUUAGUAUCCUACAGGUCCUA